rnacentral:rRNA from 1 species
UUGACCUCGGAUCAGGUAGGGAUACCCGCUGAACUUAAGCAUAUCAAAAUCCGGAAAGGAA